AUGUACAACCGAAAGACAAGGAAGGUCACGGCAAGACGAGCCGUUUGAUAGGCAUGAAGUAGACGUGCAGUAAUGCAUUCUGAAGCUGACAUGUCCUAAUAGACCGAGGGAUUUGAU
rnacentral:rRNA from 13 species